GACGAACGCUGGCGGCGUGCUUAACACAUGCAAGUCGAACGGAAAGGCCCUGCUUGCAGGGUACUCGAGUGGCGAACGGGUGAGUAACACUUGGGUGAUCUGCCCUGCACUUCGGGAUAAGCCUGGGAAACUGGGUCUAAUACCGGAUAGGAGCCAUUUUUAGUGUGAUGGUUGGAAAGUUUUUUCGGUGUAGGAUGAGCUCGCGGCCUAUCAGCUUGUUGGUGGGGUAAUGGCCUACCAAGGCGGCGACGGGUAGCCGGCCUGAGAGGGUGGACGGCCACAUUGGGACUGAGAUACGGCCCGGACUCCUACGGGAGGCAGCAGUGGGGAAUAUUGCACAAUGGGCGCAAGCCUGAUGCAGCGACGCCGCGUGGGGGAUGACGGCCUUCGGGUUGUAAACUCCUUUCGCUAGGGACGAAGCUUUUGUGACGGUACCUAGAUAAGAAGCACCGGCUAACUACGUG
rnacentral:rRNA from 1 species